GCAGUGUCCCAAACUAUCACCUUGGAGUUCCUUGAUAUGCUCACUAGAAGAGAUGUCUUGUGCCCAGCAACUGACAUCAGCACUGCAGGUUUAUCAUGCCCGUAUAGAACAGCCUUUAAAUCAUCUUGGCUGCGCUUUCCACUGCAAUCAAGGGACCAUAAUCGAACAAUUCCAUCUGAACCACCGCUUGCAAGUAUUUUACUCGGAUGAUCACCCAACAAUUUGUCUGAAAUUGCGGAAACUGAAACAUUACAGAUUCUGAAGCUUCUUUGACAACUCCCCUUCCACCAUAGCCGAAUUGAAUGGUCCAAGCUUGAGGUUACAAAAAGAUUAUCACUUUUCUGCCCCUUGCUACUAUACAAGCAU
rnacentral:misc_RNA from 1 species